UUUCCGUAGGUGAACCUGCGGAAGGAUCAUUGUCGAAACCUGCCCAGCAGAACGACCCGCGAACUUGUAUAAACAACCGGGGGCGGGGGGCGUUCUCGCCCCGUGCCCCCGAACGGCGGGGAGACACUCGUGCCUUCUUGCCGAACAACGAACCCCGGCGCGGUCUGCGCCAAGGAACUUCAACUAAAGAGUGCCUCCGGUCGCCUCGGAAACGGCGUGCGUGCCGGGGGCGAAUCUUGUGCAAAACCACAACGACUCCCGGCAACGGAUAUCUCGGCUCUC
rnacentral:misc_RNA from 1 species